CAAGGAUUCCCCUAGUAACUGCGAGUGAAGCGGGAAAAGCUCAAAUUUAAAAUCUGGCGGUCUCUGGCCGUCCGAGUUGUAAUCUAGAGAAGUAAUGCCCGUGCUGGACCGUGUAUAAGUCUCCUGGGAUGGAGCGUCAUAGAGGGUGAGAAUCCCGUCUUUGACACGGACUACCAGUGCAUUGUGGUAUGCUCUCAAAGAGUCGAGUUGUUUGGGAAUGCAGCUCAAAAUGGGUGGUAAAUUCCAUCUAAAGCUAAAUAUUGGCGAGAGACCGAUAGCGAACAAGUACCGUGAGGGAAAGAUGAAAAGAACUUUGGAAAGAGAGUUAAACAGUACGUGAAAUUGCUGAAAGGGAAACGCUUGAAGUCAGUCGCGUUGGCCAGGGAUCAGCCUUGCUUUUGCAUGGUGUACUUUCUGGUUGACGGGUCAGCAUCAAUUUUGACCGCUGGAAAAGGGCCUGGGGAAUGUGGCAGCUUCGGCUGUGUUAUAGCCCCUGGUCGCAUACAGYGGUUGGGAUUGAGGAACUCAGCACGCCGCAAGGCCGGGUUUCGACCACGUUCGUGCUUAGGAUGCUGGCAUAAUGGCUUUAAGCGACCCGUCUUGAAACACGGACCAAGGAGUCUAACAUGCCUGCGAGUAUUUGGGUGGAAAACCCAAGUGCGUAAUGAAAGUGAAAGUUGAGAUCCCUGUCGUGGGGAGCAUCGACGCCCGGACCAGAACUUUUGGGACGGAUCCGCGGUGGAGCAUGUAUGUUGGGACCCGAAAGAUGGUGAACUAUGCCUGAAUAGGGUGAAGCCAGAGGAAACUCUGGUGGAGGCUCGUAGCGAUUCUGACGUGCAAAUCGAUCGUCAAAUUUGGGUAUAGGGGCGAAAGACUAAUCGAACCAUCUAGUAGCUGGUUCCUGCCGAAGUUUCCCUCAGGAUAGCAGAAACUCAUAUCAGAUUUAUGUGGUAAAGCGAAUGAUUAGAGGCCUUGGGGUUGAAACAACCUUAACCUAUUCUCAAACUUUAAAUAUGUAAGAACGAGCCGUUUCUUGAUUGAACCGCUCGGCGAUUGAGAGUUUCUAGUGGGCCAUUUU
rnacentral:rRNA from 1 species